AUACGUAGGGUGCAAGCGUUAAUCGGAAUUACUGGGCGUAAAGCGUGCGCAGGCGGUUUUGUAAGACAGUGGUGAAAUCCCCGGGCUCAACCUGGGAACUGCCAUUGUGACUGCAAGGCUGGAGUGCGGCAGAGGGGGGUGGAAUUCCGCGUGUAGCAGUGAAAUGCGUAGAUAUGCGGAGGAACACCGAUGGCGAAGGCAAUCCCCUGGGCCUGCACUGACGCUCAUGCACGAAAGCGUGGGGAGCAAACAGGAUUAGAUACCCUGGUAGUCCACGCCCUAAACGAUGUCAACUGGUUGUUGGGGAUUUAUUUUCUCAGUAACGAAGCUAACGCGUGAAGUUGACCGCCUGGGGAGUACGGCCGCAAGGUUAAAACUCAAAUGAAUUGGCGGGG
rnacentral:rRNA from 1 species